AGGACGAACGCUGGCGGCGUGCUUAACACAUGCAAGUCGAGCGGAAAGGCCCUUCGGGGUACUCGAGCGGCGAACGGGUGAGUAACACGUGAGUAACCUGCCCCUAGCUCUGGGAUAGCUCCGGGAAACCGGGAUUAAUACCAGAUACGACCACUUUAGACAUCUGUCGUGGUGGAAAGGAUUCCGGCUAGGGAUGGGCUCGCGGCCUAUCAGCUUGUUGGUGGGGUAACGGCCUACCAAGGCGACGACGGGUAGCCGGCCUGAGAGGGCGACCGGCCACACUGGGACUGAGACACGGCCCAGACUCCUACGGGAGGCAGCAGUGGGAAUAUUGCGCAAUGGGCGAAAGCCUGACGCAGCGACGCCGCGUGGGGAUGAAGGCCUUCGGGUUGUAAACCCUUUCAGCAGGGACGAAGCGAAAGUGACGGUACCUGCAGAAGAAGCGCCGGCUAACUACGCGCCAGCAGCCGC
rnacentral:rRNA from 1 species